rnacentral:rRNA from 1 species
CUCCGCCGGGCUAUUGCACAUCCCAAUGGGUUGGUCAUUCAUACAGAUGCCUGCAAAGGUUUAGAAGUAGUCGUGGACAAUGUGCUCCCUGGAGUAGAGCAUAGGGAAUGCAUGCGUCACCUUGCUGCAAAUUUCAUGAAGAAAUUCAAAGGAAAGGUGUAUACCGACAAUUUAUGGCCAGCAUCUUUGACAUGCAGUGUGAAGAAGCACAACUACCACUUGAGGCAGUUAUACAUGAAUCCCAAAGUGAAAGAAUACUUGGAAACACACCACUCCAAGUUAUGGUCCAGAAGCCAAUUCAGUGAAGUGAGCAAAGUUGACUAUGUGCACAAUAAUCUAGCAGAGUCUUUCAACUCAACAAUCCGGAAA